rnacentral:lncRNA from 1 species
CACGGCAAAAAUAAAUCCCAUCAAGGAACUGUCCUACAAAUACAGAAAUAUUGCAUGUAUAAUCUUACCAGCUACCACUCUAUCGAUGCAAAUGAUUUCUGCCUCAAGCACACAGAAAUUCUUCAGGUGGAUUAUGCUGUUUGCAGAUUACUUUUCCUAUUUUACCCAUUUAAAUCUUGGGAUUUACCUUUUAGUGGCUUCAUUGUGAUAGAUAGUAUCCUGAUCAGCUCUUUCCAUCAUCUAAGUCUGAAUCAAAUUUCAUCUAGGACCCUUGAGAUCAUGUCCAGUACAUAAUGCUGGUCCACAUGCAAAGCACAUUUUAUUCCAUCCACCGUAAAAGAAAAUUCAACAGGAAAAGAUAGGUUUGCAUGCUUGUGGUUGUGCAUUUGAUCUAAUAUGCGGUUUUAGUCUUAUAGGCUCAAGUAACAUAGAUGGACUUUGUUUUUCAAAUAAAAAAGCCUUAGCAAGUUAAAGGUGGCUAAAAACCAUUUUAAACAAAUACAUACAACUUUCACCCUCAUCAAAGUCAAAUACAGAACUGUGUGCACCCAUCUAGAUGAAUGCCAAUAUUAUUUUCAACUACUUUUUAUUUAAAAACUUCUAAAAUGUUAUUUCAGUAUUAUAAGUGCAUAUUACAAUUUGCUAUAUUUUAAACAUUUAUGAGAAAAUUAAUCAUGUUGAAAAUUGAAAUACCAAUAACACGAUAAAAGAGAAGAUUAGGGAAUUGAGUAGCCUAA